ensembl:snRNA U1 U1 spliceosomal RNA
AAACUUACCUGCCAGGGGAGGAGUCCGAAUCUCAAAGGUGGCUUUCCCAGUGUGAUGUUCAUUUUUGGAGCCUGGAUAUGCCGACCUCCAUAGUUUCCCUAAAUGAGGGAAGCUUUUCAGCAUAAUCACUGAUAAUGUGAGAUUGUGCUCAGCCUGUCCCUUU